GACGAACGCUGGCGGCGUGCCUAAUACAUGCAAGUUGAGCGCUGAAGGUUGGUACUUGUACCAACUGGAUGAGCAGCGCACGGGUGAGUAACGCGUGGGGAAUCUGCCUUUGAGCGGGGGACAACAUUUGGAAACGAAUGCUAAUACCGCAUAAAAACUUUAAACACAAGUUUUAAGUUUGAAAGAUGCAAUUGCAUCACUCAAAGAUGAUCCCGCGUUGUAUUAGCUAGUUGGUGAGGUAAAGGCUCACCAAGGCGAUGAGACAUAGCCGACCUGAGAGGGUGGUCGGCCAGAUUGGGACUGAGACACGGCCCAAGCGCCUACGGGAGGCAGCAGUAGGGAAACUUCGGCAAGGGACGAAAGUCUGAACGAGCAACGCCGAGUGGGUGAAGAAGGGUUUCGGAUCGUAAAACUCUGUUGGUAGAGAAGAACGUUGGUGAGGGUGGAAAGCUCAUCAAGUGACGGUAACUAACCAGAAAGGAACGGCUAACUACGUG
rnacentral:rRNA from 1 species